UUUAGAUAAUCACCUCUCUCUCAUUCCUCGACACUGGUUCACUCCUCUCUCAUAGCCGGUGAAUCGCCGCCGGUGAAUCGCCGGAGUUCAGUCUAGCCGCUCCUCUUUGAUCUUCUUCAUCGGAGAUCUCUCGCCGGAGUUCAGGUUUAGCUCCUCUCUCUCGCGAUCUCUCCUUAUCUAUUUGUCUCUCAUGCGCGCUCUCUCUCUCUCUGUGUAUCUAUUUGUGUCCUUGUCUCAUGGGUUUUUCUCACUCCAGUCUAGCCGCUCCUCUUUAAUCUUCUUCUUCACGGAUCUCUCGCCGGAGUUCAGGUUUAGCUCCUCUCUCGUGAUCUCUACUUAUCUCUCGUUACUUGUGAUUCGAUUUUUACUUUAAUCAUUGAAAUCUCGAAGUGGGUUUCAGGUGUUACGGAUUGAAAUAGCUGCAGCUACCGUAUGAGAGGUAAGAUAUAUCUCUGAUUCAUGAUUUUUAUGUGUAUCAAUGGAGAUGUGUGUGAUGGCUUGGUUUGAUUUC